GAAAGAUUUGUGUGAUUCAAUGACUUUCAUUUUUUUCUGGUCCACAUGUGCCUCUCUGUAAACAGAAAAGUGAAUUGCCUCAUGCAUGAGAAUGUCUGAUGUGUUUCUGGAGUGCAAGUGAGGUGACCUCAGAAGUUAUUGUUUCAUUUUGAGCCCACAAAUUAACUCUCUCUCUCUCUCUCUCUCUCUCUCUCUGGCUUUCUCAGCCCAAUGGACACGAGGGACCUUCAGGAGAAUAAUAGUGAUCAACACACAGACAGAUGGAUGGACAGAAGGAUGGAUGAAACCAUGGAUGAAUGGAUACACAGAAGGAUGAAGGGAUAGACUGAUUUUUGCAGAAUGCAGAACGUCACAAUUAAUAAAUUGUAUAAAUCUAUUUAAAAUACGCGAUCGCACUGGCCUGAUAUUUAUGCUAAACAGCUUGGUCUUGUCAUGAGAACACUUUGUUCAUAUAUAUUAACUUGUCUUAAUGUACUUUAUUACAGUGCUUUUUUCUCCUUUUGUUAUUUGUAACAUUUUAGUUUGGUGAAUUAUCUUUACGGAGCAAAAAUACUAAUAUCAGCUAGUUACCAUCAAAGACAACCAAAAGCGUUAUUGGCAACCUAACUGUAAUUAGUAGGCUAUGUGACCAACUGCCAGUAUGGUCACAAUGUUGGCAGGUUUUAAGAUAACCAAGCUUCAGUUGACUGUGUGCAUGUUUACAAGACAACUAUGUGCUUUAUGUGCUGUAUUAUGCAUGUCAGGCCAGUGAUAGUUGAAAACGUGUUGUGUAAUAUAUUUAGCUAUAAGUUAAUAGUUUUAUUACCAUAAAAAUUUAAAUUCACAACAUUCUUUUACAGUUUUUUUUUUCAUUUGCUAACAUCCCAAUGCUAACAACCCAGUCCAAUCAAUAGUCACAUUUUUAAAACUCUAAUUAGCACAACAUCCGUUUGUAGUGACCAUACCAUUAACACAAUUCAUGUUGUUUUCACACAAUAUUCUGUCAAUUAACAUGUUUCUAAAAUGCUUAAAUUUUCAUGCUACACGAGCUUAACCCAUACCAAAAUCAUUUUACAAAUGCUUAAACACAGCAUUACAGAAAUGAAGACCUAAUGUUCCAAACUUUAAAUAUAACAUAAAGCCUCUACUUCUGCAACAACAGCAGAUUAAAAGAGCCGAUAAGAAUUAUUUUAAUUACUAAUAAUUGAGAAAUAGCUGAUUCCAGUCUUAAUGAAUAGUUCCAAGUCUUGCCAUUACAUGGGCAUGCACAAUAUAAAAGGCAUCCUCUGGAUUGGUUUUGUUCAAAACAAUGCAGAACAGCAAAGA
rnacentral:lncRNA from 12 species